rnacentral:lncRNA from 1 species
GAUAUAGAAAUUACUGAGUCAGCUAUUCACAUAUUUUUAACCCUGCUGUAUUUGAAAGAAACAUGAGAGAUUCCAGGAUUUGAAGCGUCUCAUGCAGAAAAACAGCAGCUGGAGGCAGGAAACUACCUGUUCAUCAAAUCAGUACAACAAUGUGUCUUUUCCAAGAUCUUCACCUGAAAUUACACGUAGCGCUGUCUCCAUCUCUUCAAGAAGCAGUUGUCACUGAUGUCUUUAUCUUAAAAAUAGCAACGAAUUUACAAAUAGAUUCUGUAAUUUAGAA